rnacentral:lncRNA from 1 species
GGACUAUCUCCAUCUCACGGUUGGAGGCACACUGUCGAAUGCAGGAGUCAGUGGGCAGACCUUCCGGCAUGGCCCACAGAUCAGCAAUGUCAACGAGCUGGAAAUUGUGACUGGUAUGAGAGAGACCUAUAUAGCAUGACGAUUUGAACAAUUUAAUGUAACUAACUCUCUAUAAUGACUGGCAAAUGCAGGAAGAGGUGAUGUUAUCACAUGCUCACCUGAACAAAACUCUGAUCUCUUCCAUGCUGCCCUUGGUGGCCUAGGUCAGUUUGGCGUCAUCACAAGAGCCAGGAUUCCUCUUGAACCUGCUCCAAAAAUGGUAAGCGAAACAAUUAAGUCAUGUCAGCUUGAUGAUAUUAGCAUUUCAAUAGCAUACUCAUGAGUUAAUCAGAUGGAUGACAGGUAAGGUGGCUACGAGUUCUCUACUUGGAUUUCACAAGCUUCACCGAAGACCAGGAAAUGCUCAUUUCAGCAGAGAAGACAUUUGACUACAUCGAGGGCUUUGUCAUCAUAAAUAGGACAGGCAUCCUGAACAACUGGAGGUCGUCCUUCAAUCCGCAGGACCCAGUGCGUUCUAGCCAGUUUGAAUCAGAUGGAAAAGUGCUCUUCUGCCUUGAGAUGACAAAGAACUUCAACCCUGACGAGGCUGAUGUCAUGGAACAGGUGAGCCAACCAUUACCCUUAUGUCACUAAAGAUGUUUAUAAACCAAGUAAAAUGAGGUCAAGUUUGAGUGGUUGAAUUCUGUAUGUAUAUAUGUUUACAGGAGGUCAACACACUGCUGUCUCAACUUAGAUAUAUGCCUUCCUCCUUAUUCCACACGGAUGUAACAUACAUAGAGUUCUUGGAUAGGGUACACUCUUCUGAGAUGAAGUUGAGAGCUAAGGGCAUGUGGGAAGUCCCACACCCAUGGCUUAAUAUCAUCAUUCCAAGAAGCAUGAUCCAUAAAUUUGCGAAGGAGGUCUUUGGGAAAAUCCUGAAAGACAGUAACAAUGGUCCCAUAUUACUCUAUCCAGUGAACAAAUCCAGGUAACAAGCUUUGUCUCUGAAUCACAGAUACCAUGGAGAUGCAUCAUUAAGUGAAUAACCAUUCUUGUUAAUCAUUUCAUGCAGAUGGGACAACAGAACAUCAGUAGUCAUACCAGAUGAGGAAGUUUUCUACCUGGUGGCAUUCCUAUCCUCAGCACUUGGCCCCCAUAACAUCAAACAUACAUUGGACCUGAACUACAGGAUAAUAGAGUUCUCUGACAAGGCAGGUAUUGGAGUGAAGCAGUAUCUCCCAAACUAUACCACAGAACAGGAGUGGCAGUCCCAUUUUGGUGCAAGGUGGGACACAUUUCAACAGAGGAAAAAAGCCUAUGACCCCUUGGCCAUCUUAGCUCCAGGACAAAGAAUAUUUCAAAAGGCAUCAGCGUCACUACCCUUGCCCUCAUGACAGUAUCUAAUGUAAAUAUUUAUUUCCUGGGAGCAAACGUUUGUAGUUUGUACAGAACUGUAGGUAAAAUUUCUUUUACAAAAGGCAAUUAACUGUAGCAUGGGCAACACAGUUUACUAACUACUGAAUAUCAGCAGUGAACUAGUGGUGCACUCAUGAACAUUCUCAUCAAGAAGAUUAAAGGAGAGCAGCAUUGCCUUACUUCCAAUUUUCUAUGAAGCUCUUUGGAAGCAAUAAUUUGAGCAUUGUACCAAUCCAAGCAAAAUGAGAAUUCCAGCAGUACUUACAGCAGAAAGAUAAGCUGUGCAAUGAUGAACUGAACCACUAACAAGAGGAACUCAUGCUGAGUGCUGUGGGAAUUGACGACAGUAGCAAAAAGCAGCUAUGGGUGGGGCGAUGAUUGGCAAAUAAAUUUGACCAUCAAAGGUGCCUGUAUACACAUUUAGCAUGAUGCAUGUUCCAUGAGGAAUAACAUAUCACGUUUUCAUGCAGAAAUACACAAUUUAAUAUGAAACUUAUAAUAUAUAAUUUGGAUGAUCCAAAGUCCCCAGAAACCAGAACUAGUGAAUGAGGUUCUGACGCUAAAUGGCAAGCAAUAUAAUAACACACCAUAUUUUCUUGAGCUAAACAGAAUCAAACUUUGUAAGGGUGCAUAAAAAAUGAGAGGUAUGGUGAGAUUGCACAUAAUAUAUGCAGAGGUAAGAAACUGAUUCAAAGUACAAAUAUUUGUUGUUUUCUCUGAAGUAUAACUUGCCCUAACAAUAAAAAAGAUUUGAGGUAUUCUUGAAAAAUAUAAGUUCCCCAAUGAACAUGGUCCCCCUUUUGUUAAAAGGUUGAGGAUAAAAGUUUGAUGCACAAAUAUAUGAUCAACAAGGAUAUGAAUUCAUUUGAUUAGAUAUGAUUGUCAAGUGUCAAGAGACAAACAACUUAUGAAAAGAGAUACAUUAGUUGACCAAAUAAUAAAACAUGCCCAUAAAGCAUUUGCAAAAGCAUAUGCGUCUACAGUAGAAAAAGGCAUAUGCGUCACAGAUAAGACAUUAACACAAUCAGCACAUUAUAUCAUUAAUAUCUCUAAAGUUUAAACCUCUAUGAAUAGGGGUUUAAGGAGUAAUCAAUGGUCCAGACACCUUUGAUGAGGAAGAGAAGCAGCAGAAAACAGAAAAUAAUCAGCCAAACAGUACCAGGUAGAUCAAGAAUGUAGAGAACUUGUGCCUAUUUUCAAUUUCCAAUGGGCAAAAGAUCACAUGUUUUUGUGUUAAGCAGGAAACUAUAGCAUAAUAAGUGCCUAUCACCGUGAUGACUGCAGAGUCAUUAUCUUACAGGAAGUGUUCAAGAUACACAUUUAAUUUAACAAGUAAUUAACAAAAUUGGCAAUAAUAUUUUGUGAAAGCUAGCUUUAGUCUGCUUUUAUCAUCCCUAAUUGUGAUACAGAGUGGCUCAAAGGUCAUCCAAAUCAACUUAAAUGUUUCACCCAACUAGAUAUCAUCAUCAGCAUUAGCAUGUCACACUUGCCACCUAAGCACACACCUAUGGAAGUUAGCAAGAUCAACUGGAGAAGAUAACUUUGCUGAAAUUCAAAGUACAAGUAACUUUAUGAAAGUAAAGAGUUUCUUUAAAAAAAAAAACCUGACUGAACUAACAUCCCCAUCAAGUGAAACAAUAAGAAAAUUCAUGGUGAGUGGCUUCUUCAAAGAACAAAAGGUAUAAUUGCAGAAGUAUCCAAAUAUUAAUUACUGGCCAAUAUCAUUGAUGAUAGGAGGAUGUCGAAUUGAUCCACUCCGUUCAACCAUCCAUACCAAAUAUGAGUUUAAUAUAGCUAUUGUUUAGUGUACAACUAUACAUGUUUAUUGGGUGAUUUUCCUUGCAAGUUCUUAUUGAUACUGCAUUUAGAUUGCAAAUUCCAUCUAUAACUACAGGAAAUACUUUCAUUUCAGUGGCACAGAACUUGAUGAAAGUAACAAUAAGAAGAAAUACAUGCCAAAAGCAGACAUCUCAAAAAUCAAGAAGAUAUCCAUAUUUGUCUAAUUGUCCUUAAAUAAUAAUUUAUUAAUAUGUUCCUUCAAGUAUUCAGAUUGUUUUAUUUCAUUUUAAUGAGCCAAUUCCUCAAUCAUACGGUACUACUCCCUCCAUCCUUGAAACAGUGAUAUUUUUAGCAAUGAACCGGGACAAAUACUGUCCAGGAUCAUAGCUAAAAACACACUUUUUUAGGUACGGAGGUAGUAGAAGUGAAGGUUUAGUGGCAUGCAAUUUAUUUUGAAUUUUCCAACUUCUUUGCCAUGGAACUGAACUGACAUUUUUCAGAAGAUAUUAUUGUGUAGUACUAUAAUUUGCACUUUUCACAAUAAUGUAGCGUAAACACUAAAGCUUAUAGUUAGAUAACCCAAAAGGACCUUUAAAUCCAUAGCCUCGUUCAUAAAACUAGUAACGACAAAUCAUCUAAAGAAAGCUGCUUCAAGUUUCAUGCUUAGUUUUAUUAUGAAGCAUAAACUCGUAUCAGAGUGUAACUUAUGUCAACAUUCUGAGCAGAAAUACUGCCAUGCCUUUUCAAUUGGAUAGUGUAAAACAUCAAAAUGUAUACAAAAAAAAGAAUAACAUAUUAGUGAUGAAAUUUUAUAUUCUAUAAAUUCUUACCUUUUGGUUUAUGUGUUGUAUAUUUCAGCAACCAGCAAGGGUAGUGUAAAGUAUUUAACCUUAGUUAUGUAUUAAAUCUUAACUUUCUAGAUAAGUUGUAGUUGGUAGAUUGAAAGAUUCCGCACCAUACAGACAAAAAUCAGAAACUAAAAAUAGUAAUAUAAGUAGCACGCCGAUAUGUUUUCAACACGCUCCAACAAUGUAUCAUACUCAUUUGAAUUAUUCAAUAACCAUGAAAAGUGUCACCUGUUGAACAAAAGGCAGUCCAUUGCAUGAAACCAAAGGAGAGGCCCGGGGCCAGAACUACUAUUGGUAAUGGACCUCAUUUCAACUAGUCAAUGGAAUGUCUAAUCCAUCUUAUCCAUUCUAGCAGCAGCUAAAAGGUGACGCCAGACAUCCAAAGGAGUCCUCUCAUCAAGCAUGCCUAUAGGCAAGCAUCAUGAAGGCUUUGAAAUGCGUUUGAUCUUGGGUUAUCAACAGAUGAGGUCACGGAAAAAGUAGUUUGUCACAUCAGCACUGCACCUUGCAGUAUGUGGUCGCGGAACUCCAGAUAAACAAUAAUUGUAUCCACUUAGCAUAUUUGACAUAUCAACCUCGAACUCAUGAACCAGCAGUACUAAAUCCUUUGCGGCACAAAUGCUGUGGGGCUUGUCGGUUUGAAUGAUAGUUGCCUAACGAAGCACAUGGUAGGCUGCAAGCGUGCAGGUAGUCAAAUUAAGAUAAAGGCAUACUGCACUAAAAUCAAGGAUCAACUGGUAACUAACCAAAAUCAACUAGUAUUUGCUAGGGGUAAUUUUACCAUCCUUGCAAAAGAUACCGUAAGGCACCAUAUUUUUUAGUGUAAAAUUUAGUACCUCGAGUUACUUUCGCAAGGACAGUAAAACUUCUCGUUUGCUAGACGUAACGGGAUUUCGGCUAGCCAGAGCUCAAUUCCUCCCCGCAUAUGAUAGUUUCACGUGCAAUCUGUACCCCCACAAUUUCAACCAACGUGUGCAGAGUACAAUGAACCUUCUACAGUUCGACUACCUAUUAUCCCCUUAUCGCGAAGCACGCGGAAAGCGAAUCUGUCCGGUCCCUGCUAUCCAGACAAAGCGCGCCAUGCGACCCUAAGGCAUACGAUGAUGCUGAAAGCCGGACAUACCGGGACCGCGGCGCCUCCAGCAAUCAGCGAUGGCCCCCACCGCGAUCACCGCGUGACGGUGGUGCGGCGCUGUGGAGGGAGGAGACGUGGGGACUGGUGGUGGUGGUGGGGGGGGGGGAUACUCACAUGGUGCUAACUCGGCUGGACGCCGCCGCGGGGAGCGGCGCGGCGGCGAGCCGGCCUCUCUCGCGCCGCGCCCAUUUCGAAAUGGAGAGGGGAGGGGAGCGGAGCGGAGGUGAGACGCCGCAUGGUGACGCCGAUACCGUCGGCGACGGGGGAGGAGGAGGAGGAGGAGGCCUUCGGCUUGGGCUCUCUGCCGUUAUGGGCCGCUCCUGGGUCAGAUGUUAAUUGGGCUCAGAUCGGUCGAGUUCGGAAUAAGUUCAUUGGAGUUUGAAAGUCAUCCCAAAACCACAAUAUUCAAGU